rnacentral:rRNA from 1 species
GCAGUCGAACGAAAAGACGGAAAGAGCUUGCUCUUUUCAGAAUUGAGUGGCACCGUUGUGAGUAACACGUAAACAACCUGCCUUCAGGAUGGGGACAACAGACGGAAACGACUGCUAAUACCGAAUAAGUUCCAAGGGCCGCAUGGCCCAUGGAAGAAAAGGUGGCCUCUACCUGUAAGCUAUCGCCUGAAGAGGGGUUUGCGUCUGAUUAGCUGGUUGGAGGGGUAACGGCCCACCAAGGCGACGAUCAGUAGCCGGUCUGAGAGGAUGAACGGCCACACUGGAACUGAGACACGGUCCAGACUCCUACGGGAGGCAGCAGUGGGGAAUCUUCCGCAAUGGGCGAAAGCCUGACGGAGCAACGCCGCGUGAGUGAUGACGGCCUUCGGGUUGUAAAACUCUGUGAUCCGGGGCGAAAAGGCAGAGUGCGAAGAACAAACUGCAUUGACGGUACCGGAAAAGCAAGCCACGGCUAACUACGUGCCAGCAGCCGCGGUAAUACGUAGGUGGCAAGCGUUGUCCGGAAUUAUUGGGCGUAAAGCGCGCGCAGGCGGCUUCCCAAGUCCCUCUUAAAAGUGCGGGGCUUAACCCCGUGAUGGGAAGGAAACUGGGAAGCUGGAGUAUCGGAGAGGAAAGUGGAAUUCCUAGUGUAGCGGUGAAAUGCGUAGAGAUUAGGAAGAACACCGGUGGCGAAGGCGACUUUCUGGACGAAAACUGACGCUGAGGCGCGAAAGCGUGGGGAGCAAACAGGAUUAGAUACCCUGGUAGUCCACGCC